rnacentral:rRNA from 1 species
UACGUAGGGUGCGAGCGUUGUCCGGAAUUAUUGGGCGUAAAGGGCUCGUAGGCGGUUUGUCACGUCGGGAGUGAAAACUCAGGGCUCAACCCUGAGCCUGCUUCCGAUACGGGCAGACUAGAGGUAUGCAGGGGAGAACGGAAUUCCUGGUGUAGCGGUGAAAUGCGCAGAUAUCAGGAGGAACACCGGUGGCGAAGGCGGUUCUCUGGGCAUUACCUGACGCUGAGGAGCGAGAGUGUGGGGAGCGAACAGG